AUUGAACGCUGGCGGCAGGCCUAACACAUGCCAGUCGAGCGGAUGAAGGGAGCUUGCUCCUGGAUUCAGCGGCGGACGGGUGAGUAAUGCCUAGGAAUCUGCCUGGUAGUGGGGGAUAACGUCUGGAAACGGGCGCUAAUAGCGCAUACGUCCUGAGGGAGAAAGUGGGGGAUCUUCGGACCUCACGCUAUCAGAUGAGCCUAGGUCGGAUUAGCUAGUUGGUGGGGUAAAGGCCUACCAAGGCGACGAUCCGUAACUGGUCUGAGAGGAUGAUCAGUCACACUGGAACUGAGACACGGUCCAGACUCCUACGGGAGGCAGCAGUGGGGAAUAUUGGACAAUGGGCGAAAGCCUGAUCCAGCCAUGCCGCGUGUGUGAAGAAGGUCUUCGGAUUGUAAAGCACUUUAAGUUGGGAGGAAGGGCAGUAAGUUAAUACCUUGCUGUUUUGACGUUACCAACAGAAUAAGCACCGGCUAACUUCGUG
rnacentral:rRNA from 1 species